rnacentral:rRNA from 1 species
GAUGAACGCUGGCGGCGUGCCUAAUACAUGCAAGUCGAGCGAACGGACGAGAAGCUUGCUUCUCUGAUGUUAGCGGCGGACGGGUGAGUAACACGUGGAUAACCUACCUAUAAGACUGGGAUAACUUCGGGAAACCGGAGCUAAUACCGGAUAAUAUUUUGAACCGCAUGGUUCAAAAGUGAAAGACGGUCUUGCUGUCACUUAUAGAUGGAUCCGCGCUGCAUUAGCUAGUUGGUAAGGUAACGGCUUACCAAGGCAACGAUGCAUAGCCGACCUGAGAGGGUGAUCGGCCACACUGGAACUGAGACACGGUCCAGACUCCUACGGGAGGCAGCAGUAGGGAAUCUUCCGCAAUGGGCGAAAGCCUGACGGAGCAACGCCGCGUGAGUGAUGAGGGUCUUCGGAUCGUAAAACUCUGUUAUUAGGGAAGAACAUAUGUGUAAGUAACUGUGCACAUCUUGACGGUACCUAAUCAGAAAGCCACGGCUAACUACGUGCCAGCAGCCGCGGUAAUACGUAGGUGGCAAGCGUUAUCCGGAAUUAUUGGGCGUAAAGCGCGCGUAGGCGGUUUUUUAAGUCUGAUGUGAAAGCCCACGGCUCAACCGUGGAGGGUCAUUGGAAACUGGAAAACUUGAGUGCAGAAGAGGAAAGUGGAAUUCCAUGUGUAGCGGUGAAAUGCGCAGAGAUAUGGAGGAACACCAGUGGCGAAGGCGACUUUCUGGUCUGUAACUGACGCUGAUGUGCGAAAGCGUGGGGAUCAAACAGGAUUAGAUACCCUGGUAGUCCACGCCGUAAACGAUGAGUGCUAAGUGUUAGGGGGUUUCCGCCCCUUUAGUGCUGCAGCUAACGCAUUAAGCACUCCGCCUGGGGAGUACGACCGCAAGGUUGAAACUCAAAGGAAUUGACGGGGACCCGCACAAGCGGUGGAGCAUGUGGUUUAAUUCGAAGCAACGCGAAGAACCUUACCAAAUCUUGACAUCCUUUGACAACUCUAGAGAUAGAGCCUUCCCCUUCGGGGGACAAAGUGACAGGUGGUGCAUGGUUGUCGUCAGCUCGUGUCGUGAGAUGUUGGGUUAAGUCCCGCAACGAGCGCAACCCUUAAGCUUAGUUGCCAUCAUUAAGUUGGGCACUCUAAGUUGACUGCCGGUGACAAACCGGAGGAAGGUGGGGAUGACGUCAAAUCAUCAUGCCCCUUAUGAUUUGGGCUACACACGUGCUACAAUGGACAAUACAAAGGGCAGCGAAACCGCGAGGUCAAGCAAAUCCCAUAAAGUUGUUCUCAGUUCGGAUUGUAGUCUGCAACUCGACUACAUGAAGCUGGAAUCGCUAGUAAUCGUAGAUCAGCAUGCUACGGUGAAUACGUUCCCGGGUCU